rnacentral:rRNA from 1 species
UACGUAUGUUGCAAGCGUUACUCGGAAUCACUGGGCGUAAAGCGUACGAAGGCGGACUAAUAAGUCAGAAGUGAAAUUUCAGAGCUCAACUCUGAACCUGCUUUUGAAACUGUUAGUCUUGAAUAUUAGAGGGGAUGAUGGAAUUCCUGGUGUAGCGGUGGAAUGCGUAGAUAUCAGGAAGAACACCGGUGGCGAAGGCGGUCAUCUGGCUAAAUAUUGACGCUGAUGUACGAAAGCGUGGGGAGCGAACAGG